rnacentral:rRNA from 1 species
AGGGAAUCUUCCACAAUGGACGCAAGUCUGAUGGAGCAACGCCGCGUGAGUGAAGAAGGUUUUCGGACCGUAAAGCUCUGUUGUUGGUGAAGAAGGAUAGAGGUAGUAACUGGCCUUUAUUUGACGGUAAUCAACCAGAAAGUCACGGCUAACUACGUGCCAGCAGCCGCGGUAAUACGUAGGUGGCAAGCGUUGUCCGGAUUUAUUGGGCGUAAAGCGAGCGCAGGCGGAAGAAUAAGUCUGAUGUGAAAGCCCUCGGCUUAACCGAGGAAUUGCAUCGGAAACUGUUUUCUUGAGUGCAGAAGAGGAGAGUAGAACUCCAUG